rnacentral:lncRNA from 1 species
CUAAAAAUAAGUCAGUAUGACCAAAAUAGUCAAUUGACCCCCUAAGGAGUUAUUGCCCUUCAUAGUCAAUUUUUAACAAUUUUCUUUAAAAUUUGAAGAUUUUCAAUAACAUUUUCCACAGAAAGUACUGUUAUAGAUAGAGAUAAUUGUAAGCAGCAAGAAUGUUUAGUAAAGUAAGAUCUACAAACACAUCACCAUCACCAA